GGACAUUUAGCUCAGUUUGGUAAGAGCGUUAUCUUGACAGGGUAAAGGUCAUUGGUUCAAAUCCAAUAAUGUCCA
rnacentral:tRNA from 5 species